GAAAGCCUCCCUUUUAUCAGACUGUGUCUUGAUUAAAAGGACAGCUGAUGUCUACUACAUAGAGAAUGGUUUUCUCUUGACAAAUUGGUCUUAUUGUCAAUAAAUAUUUCAUUGUUAAAUAUUUGUUUUUUGUCUGUUUUCAGCAGCACAGAUUGAAAGAUGGCUCCUGGAAGGCUCGGCACAGUCAUCUCAUAAAUUACAACUAGAAACACACAAAUACUGUCCUGUGUUGAAAUGGGCAGAUUCUAAGAGGAAUUGUUUCUCCACUGUGCUGAUAGCUCAUGAUGAUGAAUACUUCUAGGAUGGCGAAACGUUCCCUGCAUUGAUUAAGUACAGGUGGUGCUGAUUGUCUUUCCUACUUGUCGUUUACUUUCAACUCACAUUCACGUCAAGUUCCAAAGUGUUGUCUUCUUGGUGAAGGAUAAUGAAGAUGUGACUUACAGUCAUAUUUCGACUCUGCCAUGAACAAAAUCACCUGCAGUCACAUUUACUACUGGCAGCCAUUCUAUGCCCAUGAGGAAAGCAAGCCUUCAGAAGAAGCCAACACUGUUGAUAGAAGAAUGGUAAGAUAGAAAGAUACUAUGUGCUGAUACCAUCACUGAUUACCCUUGAAGAAACUUUAAUCUCUGGACCUUCUAUUCACAUGAGCCAGCAAAUUCCCUUAUGAGUUAACUAUUGUGCGUUGCCUUUCCUGUUACUUGUAACUG